rnacentral:lncRNA from 1 species
UAGUAGGUGCUGGCCUGCGGAGCGGAGCUGAGGGUCGAGAACUCCCUGCUGGCUGAGGACGGGUGUUGAAGCUCCUUUCCACGAUCUGUGCCUUUGCUAGAACUGUUGAAUAUGUUUUGAGCUCCAGUACCAACAAGUGUUGCAUGAUCUCCGGGUGGAGGCCCCACUGGAAUCUCCUGGCCUUUCGGCCCUCAUCCAUCAAUGUCUCCGGGGAGUAUCGGCCCAACUCUAGGAACUUACGAGCAUAUUCCGAUACUGUCAUGUUUCCCU